ACAUGCUUACAGCAUAGUGUUAAUGCACCGGAUCCCAUUAGAACUCCACAGUUAAGUGCGCUCAGGCUAGAGAAGUACUGGGAUGGGUGAUCGUCUGAGAAGUCCUGGUGUUUUACAUGCC
rfam:Picea glauca, whole genome shotgun sequence.